rnacentral:tRNA from 1 species
GCCGGGAUGGCGGAAUUGGCAGACGCGUACGUUUGAGGUGCGUAUGGAGAGAUCCGUCCGGGUUCAAGUCCCGGUCCCGGCA